UACGAAGGGGGCUAGCGUUGCUCGGAAUUACUGGGCGUAAAGCGCACGUAGGCGGCUUUCUAAGUCGGAGGUGAAAUCCUGGAGCUCAACUCCAGAACUGCCUUCGAUACUGGAGCUUGAGUCCGGGAGAGGUGAGUGGGAACUGCGAGUGUAGAGGUGAAAUUCGUAGAUAUUCGCAAGAACACCAGUGGCGAAGGCGGCUCACUGGCCCGGUACUGACGCUGAGGUGCGAAAGCGUGGGGAGC
rnacentral:rRNA from 1 species